rnacentral:tRNA from 1 species
AAAAUAAGUAUGAACAAAAAGAAAUUUCUAACUUCUAAAUUUUAUGGUUUAAAUCCAUUUUUAUUUUA